CGUUGUAGCACUAUGCCACCCCACUUGUCCUAAACCUUCACUAUUUUACUCAUCAUUCGCCUUAACGUUUUCCCUUCUCCGCAAAGCCCUCCUCUUAACGCAUUUCUCCCUAAUUCUCAUCGACCCAUUGCGCCAUUUUCUCAUUUUCUUUCAAUUUCACCAUCACCCAUCACUCUUAAACCCUAAAUUCUCCGACCCAUCUCCUCCAAUGGCUUCCCACUGUGAAACAAACCACCCCCACACUGAUUCUACGCCGCAUCUCAACGGCGAGGCCAAUACCCACUUGCCCAAAAAGCCAAAAAUCUCCUCAACUUCCAUUUCAAAGUCCGAAAUUCAAUCCGAAUUCGCCCACCACGACCCUUCCGUUGCUCGGAUCAACAACGGAAGCUUCGGCUGUUGCCCUUCUUCUGUCAUCUCUGCUCAACAACAAUGGCAGCUCAAGUUCCUUCGCCAGCCUGAUCGCUUCUACUUCAACGACCUCAAGAAAGGGAUUCUUGAAUCAAGAACCAUCAUCAAAAACCUCAUCAAUGCCGAGCAGAUCGAUGAAGUUUCUAUAGUCGAUAAUGCCACCACUGCCGCUGCUAUCGUUCUUCAGAAAAUCGCUAGGGAUUUCAACGAGGGGAGAUUCGAGAAGGGUGAUGCGGCUGUUAUGCUACACUAUGCGUAUGGUGCUGUGAAGAAAUCAAUAGAGGCGUAUGUUUCUCGAGCUGGUGGGUAUGUAAUUGAGGUACAAUUGCCUUUUCCUGUUAAAUCUAAUGAUGAAAUUAUAUGUGAAUUUCGCAAGGCGUUAGAGAGAGGUAAGGCUAAUGGUAGGAAGGUUCGUUUGGCUGUGAUUGAUCAUAUUACAUCGAUGCCUUGUGUGGUUAUACCUGUUAAGGAGCUGGUUAAGAUUUGUAGGGAAGAGGGUGUUGACCAAGUUUUUGUUGAUGCUGCUCAUGCUAUUGGGUGUACUGAUAUUGAUAUGCAAGACAUUGGUGCUGAUUAUUACACUAGUAAUUUGCAUAAGUGGUUCUUUUGUCCACCUUCAAUUGCUUUCUUGUAUUCUAGGAGGUCCCCUGGUCAUUCUGAUUUGCAUCAUCCUGUUGUUUCUCACGAGUAUGGUAAUGGGUUGGCUAUAGAAAGUGCUUGGAUUGGAACGAGGGAUUAUAGCGCUCAGUUGGUCGUGCCUUCGGUUUUGAAUUUUGUUAAUAGGUUUGAAGAUGGGAUUAAGGGAAUCAAAAAACGUAACCAUGAGGUUGUUGUUAAGAUGGGAGAGAUGUUAGUAGAAGCAUGGAAGACUCAUCUCGGCUGCCCACCGAGUAUGUGUGCAAGUAUGAUCAUGGUGGGGUUGCCUUCUUGCUUAGGUAUCUCGAGUGAGUCUGAUACUCUGAAGUUGAGAACACAUUUGCGGGAAGAGUUUAGAGUUGAAGUACCGAUAUAUUAUCGUGCUCCGAGAAAGGGGGAAACUGCGAUUGUAACAGGGUAUGCACGAAUUUCACAUCAAGUGUACAACAAAUUUGAAGAUUACGUUAAGUUUAGAGACGCAAUCAAUGAACUUGUGCGAGACGGCUUCACCUGCUCUCAACUCUCCAAAUGAGGAUGGAGGAGUGUUGCAUCUUUGGUUCAGCAUUCGGGUCAGCGUCGAUGUCAUGAUAAAGUUUCUUGCAUAUUUGAUUCUUCGACUGGUAAAAAGAAAUAUUUCUGCUUUCGAUCGUGUAAGAUGCAAGGCUUAUGAAAGCAGCUCGUGACGGUUCUCUUCUACUGCAUAGCCAUGGUUUCGGUACCAUGAGCACACCCCCGAAACACUUCAGAAAUAAAGUCCUAGAGAAGAACUUAACCUGUGUAUCAGUCUUCAUGAUAAGGAUAGUACUUGUACAUAUUUGAAUCUCGUGCUUUUGACUCUUAACUAUCGAUUGAAGUAGCGUCUUCGUCGUCCCAGGAAAAGCCAUAUAAUGUAGGCUAGACUGGAUUGUAACUUUAGGAGUUGUCGAGCUAUGGAGUUUUUGUGCAGCGAGCGGUUUCUGUAUCCUCCAUCUAAAAUGACUACAGGUUUUGAUGAAUUGCAGUUUCUAAUAAAUCUAAUUCCCUUACAUUUCCAGCU